UAGUAAUUUAUAACAUCUGGAGAGCUUGUGUUUGUAAAUGUACAAAUGUGCUGUGUAUGCUUCAGUUCAGUUUUAGCUAUAACUGUUGAGUGACUUGAUGCUGAUUAGCUGUCUGCUGGUUAUUCAUUUGUGAAACUUUUGCUUGUUAAUAUACAGGAUAUAGUAACUAUAUUUCCUGGUAAAUUGUAGUAGGCUGGUUUAGAAUAAAAUCAUUACAUCAAUGCAAGUUUUGGCCUAGGAGAUACAUAAACCAGAAAAGUAGCAGUGAAUUUAACUGGCUGUAUGGCUACAGUUUGUACUUCCCAAAAAGUAUAUAAUAUCAACAGCUUUUUCCAUUAGUUAAAGAUCUAGAAACUCUCACACACAGCAUGUCUGCAAGGGUUUUUCUUCUUAAGCAUUGGUUUACAGGGUUCUAUUUAGUUUUUUUUUUCCUAAGAAAUUUUUCUUUUGACAAGGUAAGUACCAGUAGAUGAAUCCAGCUAACCAUAAGAUCACCAGAAGUAUGUAUUCACUGUAAUGAAAAGAAACUGAAUUGGAAACAGAAGUGAGAAAAGACGAGGAGGGGAAGUGGUGCAUUUGAAGUGGUAGGUGGGAGUUUUUGGUCAAUUAGACGUAGGAUUUAAGGCACCAGAAAUAAACUUGAUACUACCACCCUAAACAUGCGCAUUUCAGGUAAGGCUUGUAUUUCUUAGAAAGAUACCAUGCUAGUUUUUUUAAACUUAAUUACAAGCAGCCAUUGAUCUAAAAGCUGAUUAGCUGUCCUUAGUUGAUAUAAAACAUACACAUAAUUGCUUUUUGUUGCAUUUCACAUGGGUAAGUACAGUAACAUGUAUCACCAUAACUUAUCCCUUUCCUCUUACUGUCUGUCUUGACUGUUUGUGAUGUGGUGUUUUUUUUUCCUCAAUAAGUAAAUGUAAGGUUAAUCUUGAAUGUAAAAAGACCAUUUACAACAAAUCUGUGUUAGGGUCAUAAUAAUUUUCGGUAGCUGGAACAUAGAGAUGACAAUUUGAUUGAAUGUGUCAAAGAUUUUGCAGGAUAAUCUGGUUUUGAUUAAUUAAAUUACACUUGUGAGAUUUGGCCAGCUGCAGAAAAUAAUGAUAAAAAGCUCAAACACUAGUGGUCACAUUUGUUUAUGUAGCUGCAUGGAGGAUUUGGGCAAAAGAGAAUAUUCUAGUAGAUGCUGCCUCCUUCCAUUCAGUUUUAUGGGCCCACAGAGAGAAACAUACGGAACUUAACCUUUCAGAUUGCUUUAACAAUUAAGAAAUAUAGAGGUGAAUAAUGAGAUGUAUGCUCAAAUGCAGUAACACAUUAAAGAAACAAUGUAACAAAUUGUUUUUCUUGGGUAAAUUAAGUAAUCUUCUCAUGUCUCUCUACAUUAUAUAGGGAUGCUGCUUCUCUAGUGGCAUUUUGUUUUGGAAGGGAAUAUCAAAGCCAAAUUGUUAUAACUCUUCUACUGAUAUGACAGGGGAAUUACCUCUGCUGUAUCUAUUAAGCCAUUAAAGGGUGAAGUUAUGGAUGUGUUACACUUUAUUUACACAUUAGGUGAUGUUGCUUAUCAGCAAAUUUAAGAAGUUAUUAUUUGUUAGUUUAAUUUUUUUUUUCACCUAAGUGACCAUGGAACUUGGCUGAGUUUGACUAUUUAGUCUCUUUGUGGCAUAUGUUUACUAAAUUAUCACUACUGAAAAUAUUUCUAACACAGUCAUGCACAGUGACUACAAACUAUUGUGAAGUCACUGAAGGAACACAUAUUCUUGGCAGGUUCAGACCAAUUAUUUCCAGCUUAUGAGGUGGGAAGUUUGCAUAGUUACUCUUAAAUCAUAUGAAUACUAGAGCUAUUCAGUGCUGUCUGAAUGCUCCCAGUAAUAAACAAUCACACUAGGAAUAAAAUCAAAAUAUAAGCUGGUAAAGCAACUAUCCCCUCAUCUUUAUUUUAUAUUAAAACCCCAAACACUCCACCUUGUUCUGGACCCUGUUUCCUUGUCUUUAUUUAGUAUUUUACUGCUUCGGAAAUGAGACUCAAGUGGUUAGCUGUAGCUUCACAAAGUAUUUGCAUGUAUUUUGUUGAAAGGAAUUCUAGCCCUUAUUGAUUUGCAACAUGUAUUUCUGUGGCUUGUGUAUCGGGGCAGCACUGUAGUAAGGGAGUUACUCUUUUCCAUGAAAAAUACAGCUAUUGAAUCACUGAUUUAUGAGAUCUGCUCUCCCCACUUCACUUCCAGUAGGCAAUGGAAAUGUAGACCCAACAAGAAGGAGUCACCUCCCUUCAGGAUAAUAUAGUUUUCUUAGUUUAGGCUUUAUGGCUGAGUACUUGGGAAUUCUUACGCUGAAGCUAUACUUUACAUAUAUUUUUUUUUAAUUGUGUGAUUUGGUUGUUGAAGUGUAACUCUAGAGAAAAAGAUUAUUUGCAAUUUUCUUUCUCUUCUGUGCUAAUGGAAAUUUUAGUUAUUAAACUUGUGAUUAGCUGAAAUUUGGGCUAUAUGGAAUAUUGCCACUUUUCGCAAUAUGGAAGUACUGCAGUAGGAAAUGUCAGAAAUUAGCAGAUUAGAUUAUUUUCUGAAUUAUUCCGUGUAAACUGGACAGUAUAUUAGUAGUUACUUACUAUCUGUACUCUUUCCCCCCCACCCUGCCCCCUGUCAAAUGGUGUUAAAAAGUUUAUCUUUUUGUUCUUAUAAGCCCUCGGUUUGUUACCUGACUUGAUAUCACUGGGCAGAACAUAGUCUGAAGUUACAAAUGCCGACAGUUUCUGAUAAUAGCAUUACUAUUUUUUAUCCUCCCUCUUAAUUCAAUAGGAAGUCCAGCAUUUAUACUAAAAGUUGUUAUUUUUACAGAUCUUACCCACAGAUACACCUGUGGAAAUCUGAUGUCAUGACAGAAAUGAAACAAAUUUAAGGCAGUGAUUCCACAUCAUAUAGAAAUCUUCAUAUCUAUGCAUUUCUUUUGACUUUGAAUCGGGGGUUGUCUCACAUUAUUAAUAUUUUUAUUUCAGAGUGAGUCUAUGUGACUCCAGUGGUAAUCUAUAGCUAUAAUACAUACAAAAGGGUUUUCAUCGUCAAAGCAAUUAACAAACAUUAACUAGUCUUCUGAAAGCAGCAUUGCCUCACUUUUCUCUGUCCCAAAAUUACUUUUGUCCCAUUCAUUUUUGUCAUGUCUACUGGAAUUUAUUCGAAGUUAUUAUAUUACUAUAUUUAUUUUAUAUCCAGUCUUUUACACUCCUAUAUUUUGUUAGAAUAUAUCAAUAUGGUUUAUUUAAUUUAAGCAUCUUGCUGUAAAAAUAGAUCACAAAAAUGUUCUUUAUGUUCCAAGGAGCUUAGAGUUUAGGCUGGCCAAAGCAAACAAAACAAGAAUUGAAGAAAGGAUGAACCAAAAAUAUUGUCCAGUAGUUUUAUCUCUUCAUCUUAAAAUUCACAUAUUUUUCUUUAUUGCUAUGAGAUCUUUCGUAGUACUUCUAUUUUGUAAAUAAGUGACUGAUUAAUGAAUGUAGGCUACUUCUCAUUAUAAAGGGUUUCACAAAGAUUUUCACCUUGGUUAGCUUCCUGUAUUCACUCCGAGUAGCAGAAACAAAGAGUAAAAAACAGGUUUCCUGCUGCAUUAUUUAUGUGUGUAUACAUAUUUAUACAUGCCUUCUUCAAAACUCUUAUAAAAAAAAAAAAAGCUAGCUUAAAGCCAGCUUGCUGUUGUGAAAGAAACUCCUAACAUAAAGCAAACUGACAUAAAAUACAUGUAAGACUUGGAAGGUCUGGAACAGAUGUUUGGGGAGAGCAAAAUAAAGAGAAGAGAAAAACACUAGAGAUGUAAUAUCUUUAGAUAUUAGUCUAGUCUUCCAUUAUAUUUCAUGGAAUAGAUACAAUUAGAGCAUUCAUAAAAUACCAUAACUGAAAAUACUUUAUUUUUCUUUAUAUUAUUUCUGACAAGGGAAAAUCUUUAGCUGAAUUCACUUGUCUUCUUCCAAAGUAUGACUUUCUUUUGAUGCAACUAAUGCAUGGCAUUUCUGGAAAUUUUAGCACAAGAGGAGAGUAAAAAAGUUUCUGUAAAGACAAACAGAAUUCUGUUUGCAAAUAAUGUCCAAAAUAAAACAAAGGCUGCUUUAAUAGUUAGCAGAUUAGCAAAUCAUAUUGAGGUUUCUUUCCCUAUUUAUCCUUCCUAAUCUAUGAACGUCAUGAGGUGAAACAGUGCCAUGUAUUCUCCUGGUGCUUUUAAGUUCUUAAUGUAACUUCUUUUGAGUAAAGCAGUUUGUAGAAGAGAAUGGGAGGAAAAUUUUUGGAAGCAGAUAGAAGUUUUUUGCAGUAUUGAACAAUUCAUUAAUUUGGUAACUUCAUGUAGAAACCAAGUCCUUCUUUUUUUUUUCCUGCAUAUUUGCAGUAUUGUGCUUUUACACUUAGUUUAUUUCCAGAGGUGAAAAUAAACUAGUGAAGACAAACAGGAGGACAGUGAUGCAUGUGGGAAGGGACUUUUAUCAUAUAAGUAUAUAUCUGAUACCUACUGAGAAGUCCUAAAUGAUGCUGGGACCUUAUGAUAUGUAUGAUUUGUCAGUUCAUUGGCUACUGAGCUUGUUUUCCUUAAGCUGGAAGAGAUUUAGUGUAUGUCACUGGUUCUUUUUUUUUCCUAGGUUGGCCAAAUAUUCAUAAAACCUAUUUAAUUUUAACUAUCUGAAGAUAUGAGGAACAGAUAUUUAUUACUGAAAUGUAGAUAUUCUCAUUUGAUGUUGCGGUAAUGUAGUAGCCAGGGAGAAGGUGAUUUACAUAUAUAGAGUUUCCCUUUAUAGGAAGCUGCAUGAGUUGCUGCCCCUUGGGACCAACGUACUGUCAGCUGUUAAAAUGGACUGUUCUUUAAAGAUUUGAAAAUGUAGCUCUUUUUUUGCUUUGUUUUGUUUUAGAAGGCAUACUGAAAUGUUUUCUCAAAAUACAUAUCCUGACAGAAUUAGAAGAUGUGAGGUGAGGUGAAGAGUGGGGAGUGAGGGGGGAAGGACUUUCUUAAAACAAAUCUGAAUAGCUAGAAGGAAAGUUUCUGAAGAACAUUAUUAAAUUGAAGCUUUAAAGGUUUAAUAUUUUAUAGAUUCUCCUUUUUCUGUCUCUUCAGAGGUUUAAGAUCACAAAUCUUAUUUGUUUGAUUCCGUACAACGACAGGAUCAUAUUAGCUCUUGUGACUCUGGAAGCCCGUUUAUUCCUUUGCCAAUUAACCAGACCCAGGUUUCUGGGCAGAAAUAGCCAGAGUGACAUUGCUUUCUUGUGUGAAGUUUCUCCCUAUUUGGGACCCUCUGUCAUUACAAAUUUUGCAGCUGUUGAAUCCAACCAUGCUCCAGAUAAUCCAUCCCUACUUUCCUCAUUGCUGUCUUUAGUCAUUUUUAUAAUACAGAGCUAGCGAGAAUCUGAAAGUUAAAGUGUAGAGCAUCCUUACCGAGCCAGAGGUUCUGCUCUAACACCCAGCAGGAAAUAUACAUUCAUAUAUAUGAAGCUUACAGACUUCCUUUGUGCACAUCUGAGAGUCAGAGCUUCAUGUCAGCUUGGUUUUCACUACUUCGUGAUGUUUGUGCAUGUUUUCAGGAAUCACUGUUUAUGCUCUUGACUGAGAUUUUUUGAGGAAAAAUUGCAUAUUGAUUUCUAAGCUUCCUCUGUCUUCCUGAUAGACUAGCCACGCAUACAAAUCAUGAAAAGGUUGGGUAUGUGGUUCUCUAUGCAACUAUGAUUAACUUCGAUCAAUCACAAGUUCGCUGGCUAGUUUUAGACUUUUCAAAUAUGAUUUGGCUAAAACCUCUGUAUUAUUUAUAAUAUUAACUUUUUUUUUUUUCAAUUUCCUUUGGCAAUUACAUAAUACAGGAAACACACAGUUCAGCUUUGGUUCUUAUUUUUGUGUCAAUGUGCCGUUCUUCACCCUUCUCUUAAAAUCAGUUCCAACUGUGGCUUCGUGCCUGGGACUGAUUUAGGAAUACUCCGAAGGUAUGGUUAGUCAUAUGAAAAUCCUGCUUUGCAGUUUCUGUUAUAGUCUUAUAGACUUGUUGACAGUUUCUUUUCUGUACUUAGUUGGAUAUAAUCUUACCUAAACAGCAGUAUGUCAGAUAUAUAAAUCAUUCUGCCAAUAAAGUAAACACACAGUGAUUCAUGGGUAUUAUGCUCAUAGACCCAUAAAUCUUUGCAAAAACCUGAGAUUUAUUCUAGAUUGCGUAGAAUUUAGAUUUACUGAUAACUAUGCAUAAGUAAGCAAAUUGUUUUAAACUUGUAUUUUAAGCAUUCCUUUGAUGAGUGGCUGUCUUCUGAAAUGGUUAUUAAUCAAAACUCAUGAAGUAUAUAUACUGUAGGCUUUCUAUAACACAAAAUGAAGUUCAGUGGAUUUUGUAAGUUAUUAAGGUAUCAUUAUGGUUUUCAAGUAACCUGAUAACUCAAGGCCUCCAAAUUACAAAUUAUGGGCAUUUAUGAUUCUCCUUGUUUAUUGAGGAAUUACUGUGAUUUCUUCCUUCUAACAGCAAUCAAGACAAUGUCUCCCCAUAAAACCCUUCUCUUUAUGUUAUGGGAUGGACUGUUCCAGAGAGUGCGUGUUUUAUUAACAGAAAUAUAAACUGGGAGGGUAAAGAUUUUAUGUGUACUGUAACUUCAAAAAUGGACAAACUAUAUAAUAGAAUGGAAAAUAAGGUUAAAACUAGCAGUAACCAAAUCAGGCGUGGAAAAUUUGAAGAGAAGCAUAGAUUUAAUGAAAUAAUUGAACACUUAACAUUACUAUAUAGUAGUAGUUCCCUGGCAACAGUUAUUUCGCUAUCUGUAUUGCAAAUUAAUGUGCAUCUUGGAGAGCAGAGGGGUGGAAGAAGAGCAUAACCUGUCUUUGAGCAACUUUAUUAAUACAGUAGGUUUUACAGAAAUUUCAGAGGAAGUAUACUGAAAAGGUCCUCUAAUGGAAUGUGCUAACAACCUGGUGCAUCAGGAAGCCUACCCGCAUUUGAGAGAGAGGGAUAAGAAAAACAAGUUAUUGUCAAUCUUGAGGAAACAAAUUCACCAGCGCUCCUAAGUGACGGAAUUUUUACAUAUUAACAUGUGUCAUAUCAGGGGAGCUUUGCAGGCUGAGAAAAAUUCUUAAUGCUUUUUGUCUUCCAUAGUUCAUUCCCUGUACUUGGACCCAUCUGCCUUUAUUCCCAGAACCUUUUAAUUGUGCCGUUUCCUUUUUAUUAUUGUUGUUGUUAAUAUUAUUGUUAUUAUUGUUGUUGCAUUGAUACUUCUCCCUAUUUUCUCUUCUGCAUCUUGUUUUUGGUCACUGCUUACAUGUAUUGCACACUUUACUGCAAAUGCAUUUCUAAAAAAGGAGAAAACCUAUCUCCCUCCUCAUCAGCUCUGCUCUUGGUCCUCUGGCACGCUCCAAUUCUCUGCAUUUCCACUGCUGUGUGCUGCAGCUUUUGCUUUCAGCUCACAGUCUCCACCACUUCUUUAGUCUUGCUUCAUUUUCCAGUUUUUUCUCCUUUUCUAAGACCCUCCAUUACAUCUUCCCUCAUCACCUUUGAUCCUUGACUCGUUUUAUCCUUCUCUUCUGAACUUACUGAGUGGAACUGAAAUGAGUGAGGAAAUGGGUGCUCAGAGAGAUACAGAUAAGUCCUGGAGUUCAGUGGUGCCUGGAAUUGGGGCCAGACAAAUGGAGUUGAUCCUAUUACACACCUUACAAACAAGAAAAAUGUUUGAAUUUGUAGCUCUGCCUCCUUACAGAGUUUAUCAUUAAAACUGCAGCCGGUGGAGUAGAGAAGUCUGAAUGUGGUUGUGUCAAGCAGUAGUUUUAUAUCGACCCACCAAACAUGUUGCUGUUGAUCAGAGGGAACAGUCACAAUAAUCAGAUUUGUUUUCCACCCCCAGCAUUGUGUAUUGUUUAGAAGGGAAGAGGAAAACUUAAUUUCCAGUUUUCUCUACACCUUUGUGACAACAUUCAAACAAUAUUGCAACUGUCCUUCCAAAACUGAAAUGUGUAUAACACACAUAAUUAUAGUGGUAAAGAUGAAAUCUCAAUGUGUGCUCUUAUUCUCAUAGCAGUUCUUGAGCCAGAAAAUGAAACUUUUCGAUAUGUGGGCAAAUCUAAGCUUAAGGAAUUGCAUUCCUCUCUCUUGUGAUAUAGCUAGUAUUAUUCACAUUUUAUCAUACAGCUCUAUCUUAAAUUAUAUCAUGUUAAUGAACUGUUCUCAGCUAUAGCUGUAGCAGUUGAUAAAUUCAUACUAGUUUUGCAAAAGCCACAAUUUUCUAUCCAUACUACAUAUAGGAUACACAGGAAAGGAAACACAGUCAAGAUGCACAAAACAAAGCAUGCUUUCAAUUGGAAGAAAACCAUAUGUUAUUCCCUCAGUAAUGAAAUGUCAACAUUAUAGGGUUUUUGUGCUGGGCAAAUAUUUUGUGAAUUGUACCAACAUUUUCAACAUUAGCCUUAUUCAUUACUAGAGUCAGUGGCGGAGUCGUAUGUUAUCUCAUCUAUAGCAAGUUAUUUGUCUGUAGAGGGAGAAUAGUAAAAUUUUGUUAUGUUAUGAUUCAGGUAGCUCUUCGAAGUAUGAUAUCAUGAUUGUUUAAAGGAAUUUGAAUUGCAUGGUACUCAGAAAACAGAGCCAAGCUGUGGGAAUUACAACACCAGAUAUUCAGGUUGCUGUUAAAAUACCAAUGCAUGUGAGAAUAGUAUCUGUAGUUAGGUUUUUUAUGGGGAGUUUUUCCUCCAUGCUUGGUAACAAGAGACUCUAGGAAAAUUAAUGUGCUCUUUUCCUUGGUUAUACCAUAUAGGAGUCUUGUGGAGGGAAGUUUCUUACUUUUCUUCCUUUACUGUUGGGAGACUUUGAGUAAGAAUAUAUGUCCAUCCAGUGUGAGCAGGAAGCCAUUUUAAGAUUGUGGGGUCUUUUUUUGAUGGCCAUACUUUCCUUUUAGUAAUGGUGCUGACAGGGUUUGAGGACCUGUUCUUUGUGGACUCUGAGUAUACCUCAGGAAGAGCAGAGAAGCACAACAUUUGAGAUGUGAACAUCAGAAAAUGACAUGAUGUAAAUCAUAGAUGUUUCAUAUUUAUCUAUUUGUAUGAUUUAAUGUGUGUGUUAAAUGUUUGCAAACUGCUGUUCAUGCUAAAUAAAGACUUACCUGACUUAUUUAUAUACUUGCUGGUCCUCACGGAGCUAUAGCUGAUAUUCUAGUGCUAAUAUCUUUAGUUUAAACAGAAAAAGAAACAAUGAGAUUUGCAGAAAAAGGGAAAGCAAUUUUUCUAAAGAUUUUCUUUGUCUUUCCUUUUACUAUUCUAUAAUAAAAAGAUGAAUAAUGAAAUUCCUAAUGCUUAAAAUGUGGAAAAAACCCACAUUAAUGGUCAUUUAUUGUUGUACUAUUCAUAAUUCUCUCCACUUUCUACAUAAUUACAUGUAAAUAACAAUGUAGAGAGUCAACAAUAUAGAUUGAUGAAGCAAAAAAAAUAACUAUAAGAGCUAAAUAAAUGUAAUAAAUUCUAAUAUUCUGCAUUUAGAGCAAAUGAAGUUAUCACUUGAAAGUACUUCUUGUUUAUUGAUUAUCCAUAUAAACCUGCUUCUAAUAAACUACGCUUUCAGAAACAAUUCUUAUUAAUUAAUUUGUGUCUAUAUUUAAUAACUAGUCCAUUAGUGAAUUGGUCCAUAAAAUGGUCUUCAUAACAAUUUUACACAGUUAAACAGUAAAUUGCUGACUAGGACAACAUCAUUUUAGCAUAAAUAAUAGAGUAGUAUUGCUAAUUGGACAAAAUGACUUUAACUGAAAAUAUCCUUCAUACUUUUUCAUGUAUUGUUAAUAAGACCGAGGGAGCUGUUUGCUUGAAUCUCCCUGUAAUCAAAUGGUACGUUUGUAUUUUCUGUAGGUACUUUUGAAGAAAUCAUGUCAACUGUUGGUAUCAUUAUUAUGGCUACUUUACAAAUGGGAUACUUGGUUACCAAGGUUUUUGGUAAUGAAGAGGGAUUAGAUGCCAAGACCUAGUUUGGAAUAGAUUAGAACAAAUAAUUUUUUAAUGCUAGCUUUCAAGAGUGCUGCUUUAGCUGAGGCAGAGUGAUUGUUUUAAACAAAUAAAAUCCCACAAGUAAUCAUUUAUUAAAUAGCACUGAAGUGUGUGUGUGUUUUUUUUCUCUGAAAGUAGCUGUCAAGAUGGUGAUAUUGAAUUAUAUGUUGAGCCAGUGGUUCCAUAUUAUUGGUUAGUCUGUAAGCCUUUUCAGUUGGCUGGUGUUUCCUUCUUGAAAUUGGAAUAGCUAAUAAAGCUCCAGAAGAAGCUUUAGGCUGAAGAACUGGGGCAGCUGGGUUUCCCAUCUGCUUUUACUUGCUGUGUUGCUGUUUUGUCUGAAUUUUCAGUAACUAAUGUUGAACCAGUACCAUGUCUCUAGUUUAGAAGUGUUUAAAAGCAGGUGCAUAGGGUAAAGUAGCAGUGUGAGAUUUCCCAGAAGGAUCUUCUAGUGUCCAUCCCAACUCAGGGUUGUAGUUCCUAUGUAUUUAAUUUGCUAAACUGGAUUGUUUUUCCACAGCCCGGUACAGCACCCUCACAAGAAGUGGCAAGAAGUAUCACAGCUCAACUGCAUGCUGGCAAGGAAUGUCUUCCUUUUGUUUAUUUCUUAGCUUCAAGAAUUCAAAACUCUUUCUGAUUUGUUUCGGCCAGAGCUGAUGUGGUUAUCAAACUCAGGAAAAUGGACCAGGUUCUGGCUUCAGUGGGAGAACCCACCUCUCUGCUUUUCUCUUAUUAUUGUUAGUCACUGUCAGCAAGCUGAAAGGCAAGGGGGUGAUGAAAUUUCAAGAAGUAAAAUUAAUUUAUACUAUUAAUAGUAUGCUUCCUUGUAUAUUAUCAACAUUGUGUUUAGCUUUAUGAAAGGAGAGCAGUGAGAAAACAUUUUUAUAACCAAAAUCAUUACUGUUAAUUCAGUCCAUGGGGAAAUGCAUUGGUCUUCUAAGAGAAAAAAAAGGAAGCCCUACUCCUGCUUUUAACAUUUUGGAUUAAUGAAAAGUGAAUAAAAGCCUGAAGUCAGUUUUCUCCUUGGUUGGCCUAGUUUUCUCGUGGCAGAUUGAUAGAUUUUCCUGCUUCCCUCUGUGUUCCUGAAGAAUAAGUCCAUCUUCAAUUUUCUUUGUGUGUUGAGGCCAAUAUUUUGUGCUUGCUUUUAGUUGUUGGCACUGUGGAAAGGAGAGAGGGAGAAGGUCUGACUGAGAGAAAAACCUAUUAAAUUGCAAUAACGGCAUGCCUGUGAAAAAGGGUUUUGGAGGAGAUUAUGUGAGCCACCUUCCAGGAACUGACCAGCAGCCAAGUCCUCUCCUUGAACCUUGAGUAGGAAAGCCUUUGCCAGUGCUGACCAUUCAGGGAGCCUCAUGUCUGCCAGAUUGACCCUGAAAGAGGAGAUGAUUAGAGAUAGAAUAAUAAAGUACUGACACCUCACCAACUGGUUUGGCAUUUCUUACAGCAGGACAAAAUGCCUCAAAUUCAGAUCACUUCUUCCCUGUAUUGAUCUAUGUGAAUGGUCUGAAGAUUUACAGACCUCACAGACGAGACCCUGCCAAGUCAUCAGAGACAGAUCUGCUCUAACAAGCAAUUUCUACAUGUCUGGAGAAAUGUGUCCAUUGCCGACAGCGAGUCAGAAUCGAAGGUGGUCCUGCAGCCGCAGGGGAUGCCGUGGGAUGCUGAUGGGUUCCCCAGCCCUGAAUGAGGCUGUGGUUAUAGGGAAAUUGCUGUAUUGUAAUAGAAGUUAUUCUGCAGAAAAGGACAUUGAUCACUGAACAAAUAAUGUUUUAUUAGCAUUAGUUUGCCAGUGCUUCAGAGAAUAAUGAAUGAGGGGCAUGGGUGAGAAUACGAGUUGAUAUCUUGAAUUUAUGAGUACUCUAUUAGCUGUCUUAGCCUUUUCUUCCUCUACAUUUCUGUGGUUUUCCCUGAGUUUCUGUGAUUGAGAAGAAGAUUCCUAUAAAAUCAAGAUAAAAUUCAGUAGUGACAAAUGCUAAGUGAAAAAGGGUGUGUGGAACAUUUUAACUUUACUUAGGCAUUGAUUGACUUUGAACUAGACACUUAUUCUCUGCAGGAGCAACACUGCAGUUAUGAUACACCCUGUGAAAAUGAGGGCUUGGCAGUAGUCAACACGAGUAACAGUAUGAAACAUCUUGUUCCCGCUGCGUAAGCCCACAGUGGUGCAUCUGCAUCUUGGAGACUGUUUACUCUUCUGGUUCUUCCAUGUCAAAAGGGCAUAACAGGACAAGAAAAGGUACAGAAAUGUGCAGAGUUAUGGACAAGCUUGUGUGUGAGGAAUGAUGAAUAGCUGAGGGAAUUUUAUCCUGGAAACCUCUACGGUACAUGAAAAGAGAAUAGGAAAGAUUAUACAGUGUUUUCCAUAGUAUAGGACUAAGGAGGCAACAAAUUAUUGGAUUGGGGUUUCAUGAGGAAUAAAAAGUAGGCUAGCUGCAGAACUACUUUCUGUAGUUUUUGUGUUCAUGUAUCUUCUUUUGAACACUGUCAAAGACAGGACAGUGAGCUAAAUAGACUCCUGUCUGACCUGCUUCUGAUGACUUGUUGCUGUUCAGUAUAUUUAUUCAUGAUCCAGAUGGAAAAUAUAAAGUUCUUAGAAGACAGAGUCAUGAGGAAUGAUUGCAGCCUGGGGCAGCUCUGUAGAGUAACCACGAUAACUUGGCGAGCUGGACUCAAUAGAUCAAUAUUCAUUUUAACAUGGCCAAGAACAUUCUCGUACAUCCAGAACAAAGAAAGUAGUCUGCACUUGCAUGUUCCAGAAGCCAGUUCCAAAAUUGUGUCACUGAAAAGCAAUUAAUUAUAAUGGUGCGUAAUCAGUUAAACAUCUGUUCCUGGUGUGAUAUUACUAAAAGUGCACUGAUAAUAUCAUCUUGGAUCCAAAAGCAGGGAAUAAAAAACAGUAUUUAGGAGUAAGUAUUACUUUUGUUUGCUGCUACUGAGAAAAAGAUGACUAGAAAAAGAUGUUAUAAAUAUAUUUAAAAAUUUCAAGGAUGAUUUAAGAACUAGAAAAUAUGUGUUGUAUGCUUAAAUAUAUUCUCAUAAAUCUCUUUUAUUUGUUUGAGGCUAAGAGGUUAUUUGAUCAUGUCCCAUAGUUGAGUACACAGAAAAAAGAUGUCUGAUAUCAAUGGAAAGUAAUGAGAUACAGUCAUUGAGAGCUCAAACCAAAUGCAUUCAGAAUAAGAAUGCGAGUGGAAAUCGAAAUGAGAGUAAUUAACCUUUGGAAGACAUCGGGACUGUGAUGGAUACCUUGUUCUUAGAUUGAGAAGUUAGUGGCUUGAUGUGUUUUUUACUGAGAGGUUCUUUGCGUUAUGUGACAUGAUCAUAUUGGUCUCUUCUGAGCAUUAAAAUAAAUGAGCUGGUGAAAAGCUAAUUCUAGUAUGUAUUCACACAUACUUCUAUGAAUACUACCAAAACCAUGAUUUAAGUAUUUUUGGGUAUUGCCAUAGAAAUAUCAAACGAAUCUGUGCAAUGUUUCUUUCCGUAUGGGAGAAGCUGACAAUGUAGUAUAAUAUUUGUAAAAAUGUGACUAUUUUUUUUAAAACAGAAGCAGAAUCAUGGUAAUAUCAAAAUAAUUUUGUUGACUGUACAGUAGUACACACUUUUUUUUGGAAAUACUCAACACUGGAGAGUUUCCAAGUAUCUUUUGGCUUGACACUGGCAAACGUGUUCACCAGGUGUACUUCAUCUGUGAAAGUUCUUCUGCUUUGAAUUCUGCCAAAUACUCUGACUAUAAUUUAACUCUUGAGAUGUUGAAUCCAGUGAGUUUAGUAGUGUUUGUUUAAUAUUUAGUGUUACCCAAAUAAUUCAUUUCUCCUUCAGAUUUAAUCCUCACCACUUUACCUACAAAAUACUGACAACAAAGAAGUUAUUAGCAUAAGAAGUUGCAGUUUAAAACUAAUCAGACUAUGUCUGCACACUUCUUUAAUUACCUGUAUUUCUGUUUUCCCUGUCUGUUCCUGCCAGUAGGAUUUUUAUUGGGUGGUGGGUGUUGGUAAAAGGGAUGCUACUAAAAAGCCAUAUAGAUCGAAGUCAGUGUGUAGCAGCUUUAUUGCAGAGAUGAAAGUCAUGAAGAACUUUUUGAUUUUAAUGUUACCAUCCUUUGAUCUUUAAGUUACUCAUUAAGUUUAAUGUUUCGAUAGCUACUGUUUUUAAAGUUUUCCCCUGUACCCUGUAUUUUAAAUCUUAAAAAAAACAGUGCUUUCUGUAAUUUGGCACUGUUUCUUUCCCAUACUAGGAAGUGCAAACUUUUAGCCAUAUUAAAAAGAUUUCCUCUUUUUCUUUCUCAGUAUUUUUUUUAAUAAUUUAUACAACAUUGAAGUACUAUGUUAAUCUUUAUAAAGACAGGCUAAACAAGUUAGAUGUCUGCUGUUUUCACAUUGGUUUCAAUCAGGUUUACAGCUACUUGGAGAACCUACAACUACAGCUUGUGUGUGUGGAAUGAGUAUGUUUUACCUACUGAAAUGACAACUGUUUGAAAGAACGCAUUAAUCACCCUGAGGAUUCACUGGUAAAUUCUUAUGUAAUCUGGGAUUAUUUUUGUAUUAUUUAUGGAUAAUCUCUUGUGUAAAAGGUAUAAAGGUAUACAUUAUAUUAUACCAAAAUUCUAACCCCAAAGGACUAAUCCACGGUAUUAGGGGAAAGGAGAAAUUUUCAUGCUGACAGUUCUUUAAUCAUGAAUGCUUUCUAGAUAAGUUACUGUUGCUUCAAUUUGUGAAGAUAUUUGGAGGGGAUUUCACAAUGCAGCUAGCUUUCAGCUUUCUUCUUCAGAAAACAUUACCACUAAUCAUUUGGAAUUAAAUUAGAAUACAAUGCAUAGCUGCUGGGGGGAGAGGGUAUGCUUAAAAGCAAAAAAAAAAAUCCCUCACCACUUAAAAUCGGCAAGCUUUUUUCUUCUCAGUAACUUCAAACUGCAUGAUUGGUUUUCUUAAACAAUGUGUAAAGUAUUAUAAAAGUAUUCAAGAGCAAAGUCCUUUGCCAGAAUUCAUUAGCAGGAUCUUGAAAUGUUUUUGUGACGUGUAUGCUGCAGGCGUUAGAGGAAGCUGCUGGUCUCUUGCUCUAGACACCUAGACAAUGUACAAGUUGACUUAAUGUUAGCAUUUACCAGAAUCUGUAGUCUGGUCUAAAGCGAAAUUUACACUGUUUUUAUCUGUAAUAUUUGUUGUUCUGAGUAUGUAGUUGAAAAUAAAUGAAAAUUUUGUUAUAUAUAUGAUUCAAAUGAUUUAUGGAGUCAAAGUCCACGUUCUAUUUUGAUAGCUCACUCUCAUUUUUGUGCUGGUAACAUGUAUGUUGCAGUUGUUCAUAAGUUACCCUCAAUAUUUGGGAACAGUAAAAAAAAACGACAGACAAAAAAAAAAAACCAAACCAAACCGAAAUAAAAACCACAAGAUAAAACACCUCACUGAGCCAGACUGAUGGUCCGCUAGGCAAAUACUAUGUCUCUAAAAAUCUUUCAUUUGAAAAGUAUGAAUUUAUGUUGCAGGAUUUUAUUUUUGAGAUUAUAGGAAAAAAAAAGAAAAAUUAAAAGGAUCAGUGAUCAUGCAUAGCUUGUAGGAAAGCAGCAAACUGCUAAACAUCAUACAGAUUCAGAUGAAUAUUGUCAAUGUAGUGAAAUAGCAUCCUUCAAGUAAAUAAUGGAUACUUCUUUAGUUGCAUAGGGAAGGCUUAAUGAUUAAUCUGCUCUUCUUUGAGGCCUAUUGCAUUUUCACAUCUACCUAUCGUUUUAUUACCAUUUUCUUUCAUUAUAGUAAUACAAAGAAAAAUGUUUAUUCUGGAUUUCUUGCACAUGUUGUAAUGGAAAUGGCCAAGCAAUUUAUUUCUUUUGUGCAUAAAAAGUCAUGGAUAACAUGAUAAAAUGGCAACAGCUCCUGGUAACAAACAGAAAUGUUGUUACAUUGCUUUACCAACCCUGACCAAAGGAAUGGCAGAGGUGUGAGAGGGAGAGGUUUGGGGGAGGCCAGUUGUCUUGGGUUUUUAGUGUUUCCAAGAAGUUCCUUCCAAGCAUGGAAGCUCAGUAAUGUAUAAGUAAAUUAACUGAUCAUCUGCUGUGCUUUUGCCUGUUCUUUCAUCUGAUAUCCUAUGGGAUGGGGGCAGUGGUGACCAGAAGGGAGUAUUUCCUUUUCUGCUGUGAUGAUGCUUGAGGGCAAGACGGUAUGGUGCCUUAAUCUGCCUGGAAAUAUCAUCUGAGGUUAUUUGCCUGGGAUUUCCAGGCACUCAGCAGCUGGGCAGAAGAGGUGGUGAUGAGCAGGCACCGCGCAGACUGGGGUGUUUGUGCAGGGGUCCGGCAUAGUCAGUGCUGUGGAUCCGUGGGGAGAAAGAGCUGGUGCUGAGGAUUGGGCAUCCAUCCUAGAGAGGUUUCAGUUUUUACUUUGGAAUGUUAAAUGCUGCUGUAGAACUCCAUUAUAUGGACUUUGAGGACAUGCAGGAGUGUGUGUAUUUAAUUUCAGACUAGCUCUAGUCUGAUCUCACAGACUGAAUGUUCCUCUCCUUCUGAAAGGCAUUAGGUGCAUUCCUGGAGCAGAGCUUGAACUUGAUUUCACCCUCCAAUAAAUCCCAUCAGUGCUCUCAGGGGCUGUUUUGUGCUUCAAACCGAAGCACAGAAGUGGGGAUGAGCAGGAUUCCCUUCAAAGCGCAGUCGUGUCCUGAACUCAACACGAUAGCAGCAUGGGAACACACCGUGGUGGGUGCUGAAGGACCAGAAGGGGUGGUGCAGAUUUUGAUACAGGCUAAACACAAUGAAUUUCCAAAACCGAAUUCUCAAACAAAAAGAAAACAAAACAAAAACUCACCAAAUUCCGCGACUAACUGUAUGGAAGCAAUGACCAGGGCGAGGUCUGGAUUAAAACCCUUUUAAAUUUCUCUUCUCUUUUCUGUAGUUAAAAGAUAUUUGAGUUCUCUUUGGGGAACAAAUGGACUAGGCAGAUCUUCAAAGCUCUGGCCAACACACAAUCCUGUCACAUGUACUUGAAAAUUACUUGAAGUAGUUUUAUUUAUUAGUUCAAAAAUCCAGAGCAAUUCUACAUUAUUUCUGUACACAAAAUUCCUCAGUGCAUCUCUGGCUUACAGUAUGACAUGACUGAACUCGUGAAAGUGCCCCGGUUGAAAUGAUUUUGGAUAUUUACUAGGAUCAAAUCUGGUAUGUUCACUGAAAUCUGUAUUGCCUAUAAAAUGAAAUAGCGGCACUGAGAAGCAUUCAGAAGUGUUUUUAAAAAAUCAGCUAACUUGUUCUUGUUUGCUGGUAUUAUGGAUAGUGUAUUUUGAAAUGAUUAAGGCAUUUGAAAAAGUAAGGAACUAGUUCUAUUUUCGAAAUGCUUUGUUUCUUGCAGUGUUAUGAUUCCAUAUUACUUCAGCUGAUGACCAGGAUAUAACGUAAAAGGCUGGGUAGAUAAAAGGGACAAAACCUGGAACAGCAAAAUGAGAAACUGUUUAAUCACAGCUGUUACUUAAGACCUCUGACAGUUUUCUGACUUUGACAUUUAAUGGAUUCUUAGGACAGAUUAAUUCCUAUUACAUUCAUAUUAAUUGAUUUACUACAGUGAAUUGUAAUUCUAACAUGUUAUAUCAGAUACAAGAUACAUGGAGUAUUUGAACUAACACAUGCAGGUUAAACAUCCUUCUAUUGAAAGAAAUAAA